GUCUACAGCCAUGCAACCAUGAACAAGCCCAAUGUCUGAUCUCAGAAGCUAAGCAGGGUUGGGCCUGGUUAGUACUUGGAUGGGAGACCACCUAGGAUUACCAGGUGCUGUAGGAA
rnacentral:rRNA from 1 species